rnacentral:pre_miRNA from 1 species
UAGGGUGACCAACGCUCUUGGUUUGCCUGGGACUGUCCUGAUUUUAGCACUGAAAGUUCUCCAUGGUGGGAAGACUUUUAGUCCCAGGCAAACUAGGGUGGUUAGUCACCCUGAUUGAAU